CAGUCGCCGCGGUAAAACGUAGGGUGCAAGCGUUGUCCGGAAUUAUUGGGCGUAAAGAGCUCGUAGGCGGUUUGUCGCGUCUGCUGUGAAAUCCCGAGGCUCAACCUCGGGCUUGCAGUGGGUACGGGCAGACUAGAGUGCGGUAGGGGAGAUUGGAAUUCCUGGUGUAGCGGUGGAAUGCGCAGAUAUCAGGAGGAACACCGAUGGCGAAGGCAGAUCUCUGGGCCGUAACUGACGCUGAGGAGCGAAAGCGUGGGGAGCGAACAGGAUUAGAUACCCGUGUAGUCCCUGUCUCUUAUAC
rnacentral:rRNA from 1 species